AUGAACGCUGGCGGCGUGCCUAAUACAUGCAAGUCGAGCGAACGGACGAGAAGCUUGCUUUUCUGAUGUUAGCGGCGGACGGGUGAGUAACCCGUGGAUAACCUACCUAUAAGACUGGGAUAACUUCGGGAAACCGGAGCUAAUACCGGAUAAUAUUUUGAACCGCAUGGUUCAUAAGUGAAAGACGGUCUUGCUGUCACUUAUAGAUGGAUCCGCGCUGCAUUAGCUAGUUGGUAAGGUAACGGCUUACCAAGGCAACGAUGCAUAGCCGACCUGAGAGGGUGAUCGGCCACACUGGAACUGAGACACGGUCCAGACUCCUACGGGAGGCAGCAGUAGGGAAUCUUCCGCAAUGGGCGAAAGCCUGACGGAGCAACGCCGCGUGAGUGAUGAAGGUCUUCGGAUCGUAAAACUCUGUUAUUAGGGAAGAACAUAUGUGUAAGUAACUGUGCACAUCUUGACGGUACCUAAUCAGAAAGCCACGGCUAACUACGUG
rnacentral:rRNA from 1 species